rnacentral:tRNA from 1 species
AUCUAUAUAGUAUAAAAAUUAUAUUUGACUUCCAAUCAAAAGAUCUACAAAAUAGUAUAGAUA